rnacentral:lncRNA from 1 species
AGACUGCCUCUGCAGAGAGAGGAGAGAGCCCCAUCUCACAGGCCCAGCUGCCCCAUGCGUGGCCCACCCUGCCAGCCAGGGGUGUGGCUCUCAGAGCCCAGUACAAGCUUGGCCUUCUGUAAUCACACGGCAAAACUGGACAGAAAGUACAGAGAUCUGUCACAGGCCCUCCGCCCUACACACACACAGCCUCUAUCCCUGACGGCAUCCUACUACAGCGGGCCACAUGUUACACAGCUGUGCCAUCACUGCCCGGAGCCCUCCGUCUACAACGGGCUCACUCUCGGUAUCAACUGUGGAGGCAGGCGCCAGAUCAUCUUGAGGAGGAGGACACUGGCACAAAGAGGGGACAUAGCUAACCCCAAGCCACACGACUCAUGCAGGAUUAAGUUCAGGGCCCUCACAGACGGGUCCUCCAGUAACAUCAAAAGACCUGGCCUUGGGCUUCCUAACCAUGCUGAUGCCCAUCAGCAAGUCAGGGACAGUCCGCUUUUGUCCCCAAGGCUCCGUGCGACAGUCUGGGCAAGGACUGCACGUGGGACGAAGGUGAGUGUGUGGGUCCAGGAGGGCCCGGUGUGGGGCCAACCACCAGGGCACAGGCUGGCACAUGUGGGAACACUUUAGGAUCUGGACACCAGGGGACAUCAGACCCUAUGAUGGUGAUAUAUUUUACCGAAGAUGACUUUUACCCCCAUGGGAAGCAGAGCCUGACUGUGAAGGACGCAGACCCUGAAGCCAGGCAGAUCCCAGCUCCAGCCCUUGGGAGCAGUGACCAAGGGGAACGUUCCCCAUCUGAAACACGGGGUAACAGAAGACCUUACUCACAAAUCACACUGAGAAUUAAGACUCACACAGACGUGGCUGCAUGGUGGCCACCGCUGUCAUUAUUAUUGCACUGACCUUUGAACAAAGAGGAAAAAGCAAAAGCUGUCAUAGUUUCCCAUCUUUACACACAGGGAGGCGACUCUUCCGUGGUUCCGCAUGGGGGCCUCCAGCUCAAAUUAAACUGUCACCAAGUCAGGAAGCCACAGACCAAGGAAAUAAAAUGGAAAGAGUGGUUCUUUGCCUGAAGGAGCAGGGGAGCCCCAGUCAUGAGCGAAUGAGGCACGGAAAAGACAAGCGUGGCAGAACAGCCGGGAUUAUGAAAAGCCACGUGGGCGACACCAAUCCGUCUUCAAGCCCAGAAGCCAGCAAAAAAGAGAACAACAAGCAAUAUUUUAACUCAGCAAUCGUUUUGCAAAAGGGAGAGGUGGUAAGAGUGAGGGUGGUGAGAGCAGCCACCAUUUGUGGGGCUCCUGGAUGCAUGGGCCACAGGCGAAGCUGUGCAUCCCCCAGGAGUUGCUUCUGGUCCCAUUUACAGGAGGAGAAAAUCAAGGGUCAGAGAGGGUGACAUCGCAUUUAAAGCCACGCAGCUGGGAAGAGGUGAGCCAGGAUUCUGCGUGGUCCUCGAAGGCCUGUGUGGUGACAUGAAAUUUCACAAUACUAACCUUGGUCCCUCUACUGGCCCAGGGCCUGGCACAGCAGGUGCUCAGUAAAUGUGCUGCGUGACUGAAGGAAGGAAGGAGAGUGUAAGGUUGGGUGGCCCUCGGGUUCUCUCCAGAGAACAAAGCUACACCAAGCCCAGGAGAGCCAUGUGUACUUGUUCACGCCUGCAUUCAUUCACGGUGUCUAGCAGGUGACCAGGCUGUAUGAGGUAGGCAUCAGGGCACAAGUCACAGGCCCAGAGCUUGAAGGGCACUUGUCCCACAAGAGCACAGCCCUGGCGGUGACGAUGUCAGGUCCAGGUGGCACUGGGCCAUAUCUUCCCCAUAAUUGCCAUCAAUUUUCUCUCUGCAGUAGCUCUCACAGUGGGAGCAGCCAGAUCCUCUAAGGCCACACCAAUUAAUUCUUCAAGAGCCUUAAUAGCCUUUAAACUCAUAAUGAUCUGCUUUUGAGGACCAGUGAUAAAUCACACUCAACAGCCUGGAGCAUCCUCUGGCCCUCACAAACACACACACAUCCCAGCAGGGGACCUCUCCCCAGGCCUGCAGCCAGGUCCGAGACCACCUGUCACCUGGCCUCCGUGCUUGCCUGCUGGAUAUUCCACACAUCAUCAUAAUUCAUAGGAAAUUUACAAAACAGGAAGGAAGAAAUCCAGCAGGUCAUUGGCAGUCGGGAAGAGCGGAGUGCUGACUUGGACAAAUGCUGCCCGUUUGGGGUCUGACUGGCCCUGCAAGGCCACCUACACACUUGGGCCCUCUGUCAGGCAGUGUUGUCACUCCCUACUGCUGAAAGGGAAACUGAAGCGAGGGAUGUGCUAACUUACAUCAACUCACAAAACUGAGCCUGGAUGUGGAACAAAAUGUUCACUUCCCCAGGCCCUUCUUUCCCGCUGCCCUGAAUCAGACACUCCGGGAGAGCCACGUUCCAAAGAUCUGCCAGGUAAAACAAAACCUCACCCACACACACAGAAACGGAGCUCCCAAAGCCCUGUGCCUGUCCCAUGCUGCCCUCCGUGCCAAGUCAGCAUGCUGUUUGACUCUGCAGCUGUCAGCUCUAUCCUUGUGUUCGGACUGAAGCUGUGUAAAUAUUAGCACAACUCGUUCAUAGUCCGACUUCCUUGUGACAAAGCCUGAAAUCCCGGCAAGGCCCUCUGGAGGCCUGCCUUCGGUCAUAACACCUGGGCCCUCCCAUAGGCUCCCCUGGGGGUAUUCUGCCUCAACGUGCCCAUGUGGAGAGCAGGUGCAGACAGCAUCGUGAGCUGCUGUGAGGUUCAGACACAGCAAGUCACCCUUACGUUGCAGCGAGGGAGCCACGAUACUGUCCAAGACAGGCCUGCACGUGCGGAGCAUGUGGCUGGGCCUAGGAGUGGUUUUCUCAGGCAAGUUCCAGACGAGGCCUCCUCUGGCUUCAGGGAGGAGGAAGAGAUGGCCAGCUGGAAGGAUGGUGGGUAGGCUGGACCCUGGAAGGCUCCGCAGCUUCAGGACAUCUAAUUCAGCCUCCACAAACCAGGGGCUGGACCACUUCUCUCCAGCUCUCCCCAAGGCUUCCUCCGGAACUGUAUACUGGGUGCUCUUGAGUGAACAGGACUCUGAAACUGACAGGCAAACUGUGGCCUGCAACUGUGAGAGGCCUCUUGAUCUCUGUGACACUUGGCCCUGCUCUGAGACUGGGGAGCAGCUGUUUAUCAGCAACCCAGACCACAGAAGGCUCAGAGAGUCCUGCAGCUGGAGGACUUACAUCAGAGACACAGGGCGACUUCUGCUGAGAAGGGAUGUGGAUGAGGCUCUGCAACAGAGGUGGCCAGGGACACGCCACCAGAGUAGUGACACUGGGGAGGUCUUGAUGAAGGGGCAGAAAGGCCCCCACUAGGGCCUUUCAGCUCAGGGUAGGAUGAAGGGCUGCCUUGUUUCUCAUGGUCACCAUAUUCCCUGCUACACCACCGGCCAUACAAGGACAAAGACUAAGUUUUGUUCACUGCUG